rnacentral:rRNA from 1 species
CCCUUAGAUGUUCUGGGCCGCACGCGUGCUACACUGAGUGGAUCAGCGGGUCAGGUUGCGCGAAAGUGUUUCCUAAUCUUGAAAUCCGCUCGUGAUGGGGAUUGACGGUUGCAAUUUUCCGUCAUGAACGAGGAAUACCUUGUAAGCGCGGGUCAUCAUCCCGCGCUGAAUACGUCCCUGCCCUUUGUACACACCGCCCGUCGCUCCUACCGAUUGAGUGGUCUGGUGAGGCUUUGGGAUCUGAGCGGAAAGAGCGUUUCGCUGUUUCUGCUCGGAAAACUCAGUCGAACCUUAUCAUUUAGAGGAAGGAGAAGUCGUAACA